UACAGAGGGGGCGAGCGUUGUUCGGAAUUACUGGGCGUAAAGGGCGCGUAGGCGGCCUGCUAAGUCAUACGUGAAAUCCCUCGGCUCGACCGGGGAACUGCGUGUGAUACUGGCGGGCUUGAAUUCGGGAGAGGGAUGCGGAAUUCCAGGUGUAGCGUUGAAAUGCGUAGAUAUCUGGAGGAACACCGGUGGCGAAGGCGGCAUCCUGGACCGAUAUUGACGCUGAUGCGCGAAAGCCAGGGGAGCAAACGGG
rnacentral:rRNA from 1 species